UACGUAGGUGGCAAGCGUUGUCCGGAUUUAUUGGGUUUAAAGGGUGCGUAGGCGGUUCUAUAAGUCAGUGGUGAAAUCCGGCAGCUCAACUGUCGAUGUGCCAUUGAUACUGCAGAACUUGAGUACAGACGAGGUAGGCGGAAUUGACGGUGUAGCGGUGAAAUGCGUAGAUAUCGGGAGGAACACCAGUGGCGAAGGCGAUCAUCUGGGGUUGUUCUGACGCUGAGGAGCGAAAGCUAGGGGAGCAAACGGG
rnacentral:rRNA from 1 species